AUAAUACUCCCUCCGUCCGGAAUUACUUGUCAUCGAAAUGGAUGUGUCUAGAACUAAAAUACAUCUAGAUACAUCAAUUUCAAUGACAAGUAUUUUCGGACGGAGGGAUUAGUAG
rfam:Triticum aestivum genome assembly, contig: Triticum_aestivum_CS42_TGACv1_scaffold_578044_7BL